rnacentral:rRNA from 1 species
UACGUAGGGUGCAAGCGUUGUCCGGAAUUAUUGGGCGUAAAGAGCUCGUAGGCGGUUUGUCGCGUCGGCUGUGAAAACCUGGGGCUCAACCCCGAGACUGCAGCCGAUACGGGCAAACUAGAAUUCGGUAGGGGAGACUGGAAUUCCUGGUGUAGCGGUGAAAUGCGCAGAUAUCAGGAGGAACACCAGUGGCGAAGGCGGGUCUCUGGGCCGAUAUUGACGCUGAGGAGCGAAAGCGUGGGGAGCGAACAGG